GGUGUGGAAUUAUCGUCUUUUCUUUCAUGUUAAUAGACAGAAUAGUUGAACACGAGUUGUUAUGAGUGUAUCAGAGCUUUCGCCAUACGUGCUAUCGGGCUGAGAACUAGAGCGCGCGAGGUGCAAAGGCGGCUGCUGCCUGAAGCAUGACGCGCGGAACACGCCUCUACAGAUGACCUUCAAUGUCAAGGAGCCUUGCUGCGAUUCGCUUCUUUUUGCUGGCUCAGGACUCAGUUUGGUGGAGGCUGGGUUUCUUCGUUCCUUUCGUUUCAGGUAAGUUUUUCAUGUCAGUAUUUUUCCCGUACUUGCAUGAAAUGCACGAAAAACAUGAGAGUACACGAAAAAAAAAAAAAGAAACAAA